GAGCGCGGCCAUGGCGUACGGCGGCCUCGCGGUGCCCAUCAUCGUCAUGAGCGUGUUCUGGGGGGUGGUCGGCGGCGUCCUGCCCUGGCUCGUACCCAAGGGGCCGAACCGCGGGAGAUAAUGGCUUCUUAAUCUCUCUUCCUCUCUCUGAUACUCCCUCUACUCCACAGAGUUAUCAACACCAUGCUGGUGACCUGUGCUGUUUGCUGCUACCUGUUUUGGCUGAUUGCAAUUCUGGCUCAACUCAACCCUCUCUUGGGGCCGCAGUUAAGCAAUGAAACAAUCUGGUAUCUUAAAUAUCACUGGCCUUAAGGAUGUGUGUGCUGUGCUGCAGUUCAUUGACAGGUGAAGAAGAGAUGAAAAACUCCACUGACCCAAAGGUGCCCUUUCUGUAGCUGGAUGGAUACGAAGCCUGCAGUAAUGCCUUAACCUUUCUAAUGUUCUUCAAGUGGCUUCUUCAAAGCUCUGUGUUUUUUCCUACUAUUCCAUUUAACAGAGUGCCUAAUGCAAUUUAUACUCCUCUUUGGUACUGUCAAUUUUUGACUGUUAACUCCAGAUGUGAUGAAAAUUUCUAUUUUUACGGGUCAUGGAAUUUCAUUUCCUGUUCAUUUUAUCUGUAAUAACACUUUAUAUUUGCAGGUCUUAGCUCGUCUGUCAUUUUUCUGUUCACCCCUGUUCUGUUUGCACUGGACACAAAUGUGUGCAAUAAACUGUGUGAGGAGAGGAGAAACAGUGAUAUCACGUGCUGAUGGCAAUUCUUUAUUUUAUUUUAUGUUCUUUUUCAAAUUAAUUGUAUUCUUGAGAAAUCUGGCCUUAAAUUUCUCAUGCCUGGAAAUAAAACUAAUCCUCUGCUUGAUACAAAA